CAUGAAAACUUUCUGACAUAGUGCAGAUUCAAGUUUGUUCAAAUCAUGGACCCCGGGGAUAAGAUGGGGCCCCAAGGGGGGGAUCAAAGUUUUACACACAAAUAUAUAGGGAAAAACGUUAAAAAUCUUCUUCUCAAGAACCACUAAGCCAGAAAAGCUGAGAUUUACAUGAAAGCUUCCUGACAUAAUGCAGAUUCAAGUUUGUUCAAAUCAUGGGCUCCGGGGGUUGGAUGGGGCCACAAUAGGGGAUCAAAGUUUUACAUACAAAUAUAUAGGAAAAAUCUUUUUCUCAAGAACCACUGAGCCAGAAAAGCUGAUUUUUACAUGAAAACUUUCUGACAUAGUGCAGAUUCAAGUUUCUUCAAAUCAUGGGCUCCGGGGGUAGGAUGGGGCCACAAGGGGGAUCAAAGAUUUACAUACAAAUAUAUAGUUAAAAUCUUUUUCUCAAUAACCACUGAGUCAGAAAAACUGAUAUUUACAAGAAAACUUUCUGACAUAGUGCAGAUUCAAGUUUGUUCAAAUCAUGGUCCCCGGGGGGUAGGAUGGGGCCACAAGUGGGGGGGGGGGGGUCAAAGUUUUACAUACAAAUAUAGAAAAAAGCUUUAAAAGAACCAUUGGGCCAAAGAAGUUGACAUUUACAUGAAAGCUUUCUGACAUAGUGUAGAUUCAAGUUUGCAAAGGGUAGUUUGGGCCAUAAUAGGGACCAAGGUUUUACAUGCAAAUAUAUAUGGAAAGUCUUCAGAUAUGGGCCAAGGUGACUCAGGUGAGCGAUGUGGCCCAUGGGCCUCUUGUUGUUAAGGUCACUUAAUUGCUAUCUGUUUUUGUCUGUCGCUGUGCAUAUGUGCAGGUGUGUGUCAUUUGUAAACUUCUCACAUUUUCAAUUCAUUCUCAAGAACCGCUGAUUAAAAGCUGAUUUCAAUUACACUUGCCACAAAGUAUCCUUAGGUGAGGGGAAUUCUUUUUUUUUCAAAUGAAGGGUAGUGUCCCCUUCCAAGGAGAGAUAAUCAAGAAAAGGUGAUGUCAUUAAAAAAAUCCCUUCUCAAGAAGAGUUGAAUCUUAUCUGAAAGCCUCCUGACAUAGUGUAAAUUCUUUUUUUUUAAAUCAUGGCCCCUGGGGGUAGGGUGGGGCCACAGAAGUGGAUCAAAGUUUGACAUAGGAAUAUCUAGGAAGAAAUCUUAUAAGAUCUUCUCAAGAAGGCCAUGGCUGGCCAUAUUAAAAUUGGGAGCAUCCUUAAAUUGUUCCGAUUCCAGUUUGUUCAAAUCAAGACCCCCAGAAGUACGAUGGUUGAAAUAUUACAUACGUAAGUUUUUAAAAAAAAUAAAAAUUGGCUAUAUAUCACAAUUAUUGGCUAUAUCGAAUCUGUUAUAACAAUGCAAGCAUGACUCCUAUUAUAUCAUCUGUAUAGUUCAUUUAUUUGAGCAUUAUAACCUGUGUGAUUGAUUUUCUAUUUUGAGGUAUGAAGUUGAUGAGUUCAAAUUAAAAUACAGCAUCUGUGGACUGUGGAGCUAAGAGAUUUUAAUAUUUUCCUGCACAUUUUCAGACUCUAGUUCAGUAUUGUUACAUGCAAAUUAUCAGGACAGAAUUGGAGGAAGUGAAAUUUGCUUGGAAUAACCAUCGGAUCAAGAAGCAAAAAAUGGGAGAUGUUGUUCCUGGGAUUCCAGAAUUCCUUUAUCAUGUUCCAGAAAUGUUAGGUAUUCCACAGUGUAAAAAUUAUAUCCAUCCUCUAAGUGUGAAUGACGAAAAGUUUAAGUUCCUAAAGGACCAAGUUCUGUUUUAAAAAUGACUUGGAUAAGGACAUUCAAGAAUCUCUUGAUGUUAUAUGCGACCAUCACCGGCCUUCAUCAGUAUUUGAAGGCAAAGCAAUGUACAUUUCACUGAAAGAUAUAUUGGAACAGUAUAUUUAUCAGUAAUUUAUGAUGUUUUGGACUUUAUGGCAAUUCUGACAAGUUCAAGAUCACCGACAGAAUUUUUUAAAAAUAAAAUCCAGUUAAUGAAUCUAGAAUGGAUAAAUAUUGGAAUUUGAUACUUCAAGCAAAGAUUAAUAUGAGCUAAAGAUAUUUUUUUCGUUUUAACUUUGUCUGAAGGUAAUUCGGACAAGUUAAGGCAAAAAGUGUUAAUUUCAUGUCAGUCCCAUAACUUUGUAUAGGGGAUACUCUGCAAGUUUAUAUUGCAUAUAAGAUUACUUAUGACCAGAGAGUGUCUCAUUAUUUAUUUUUUUGUAACCAGGGUGAUUUUGGCAAGUUUGUGGUCACUUGUAGAAGUUUGUGAGCUCACAGUGCCUUUAGUUUUUUGUUUUCUUUUUAUUGUUAUAUGACCUCCUGGUCUUUUAUGUUUCCACUGUUGGAUGGUUAUUCUAUGCAAAUUUCACUUCUUCCCAUACUUUUUGCCAUAAUCUAUUUAUGUGUCUGAAGUUUUGUAGACAAUUUUUGUAUUUCUUUUUUGUCAGUAUUUCAAUAAAUUGACCUUUCAUUAUGACCAUCUAUGAAAGAAAUUAUGUAUAUUAUGGAACAGUCUGUGCGAAAAGGUAACCCGACGAUUGCCUCCAAGUGAUCACUGUAAUUGAAACUUUGUGUAAAAACAAAUUUUCGUAUUGUUAAGAGUGAUUUUCUUCAGAGAAAGUUUAUUUGGAGAUUUUAGAUUCUUUAUGGUGAUUCCCCCCCCCCCCCUUCCCCCGAGAAUUCUAUUGUUGAUAUACUUUAAAUUAUUAGUAGGAAACCGAUGAGUGAUAGCCUACCUCAUAUGACGUAUUAUGGUAUGGCGUCGUCCGUCUGUCUGUCCGGACCUUGUGGGCAGGAUACAGACUGAACCAUAAGCCCUAGGACUUUACAACUUGGUACAUUUGAUCACCAUGAUGAGAGGAAGAUGCCUAUUGUUUUUCAAGGUCAAAGGUCAAGGUUGUAGUAUCACUUACUAGGAAAACCUUGUGGGCAGGAUACAAACCGAACCGUAAGCUCCAGGAUAUUAUAACUUGGUAUAUUUGAUCACCAUGAUGAGAGGAAGAUGCCUAUUUUUUUCAAGGUCAAGGUAAUAGGUUUACUUAGUAGGAAAACCUUGUAGGUAUACAGACCGAACCGUUGGGGCUAGGAGUGUCAAAUUUAAUAUGCAUAUACCUUAUUCCAAGUGGAGGAAGCCUAUUGUUUCUCAAGGUCAAAGGUCAAGGUGGUUGUAGCAGGAUACAAAUAAAACUGUUGUGACUAGGAAUGCCAAUACUUUUCUUUUUCAAGUUUAAAAGGUCAAGACUGUUAGAUGGCAUGCUUCACUUGAUAAUUUGGUGCCAAGUAUAGCUUGUGAACUUCCAAGUUAUACUUUAUUUCUAUAUAAUUUGAGAUUCUCCUGCAAAAAAAAAUGGUGAUCUGCCUCUACAAAAAUAGUUAUGUUCAAUAUUUUUGACCAUUUCAAACUGAAACUAAUUACUGAAAUAAACACAUGAAAUCAAAUUGUAUUGCAUUUCAGUAUACUGUACCUGUACUUAUACUUUAGCACUAACUGUUUCAAGCAAAGGUGUGUGGUAUAUUAGCAUAUUUAUGAAGUAGCGCAUUCUAAGGCUAUCCCUCUUUAUAUCUUGAUAUCCAUUUCUACAAGCAUAAUAAUGAAUUAACUCACAGAGGACAGUGCUAACUUCACUAAAAUAUGAAUCCCACUAAAAUAUGUUUUCCUUGAGCAAAAUCUACGGGCGUAUUAUGCCACGUUGGCGUUGCUUUUGUUAUACCAUCUUGACCUGUCACUUAGUCAUCUUGAGUUGUUCCCCUUUGAUUGUGCUAUGAUUUUUAUGUCGAUCUAGUAUAUCUGGUUGUUGUGACAAUAAUAAAUUCUUGUCUUGUUAUAUGCAAGUCCUCAGUCAAGUUGUAUAACAUUUUGCUUGUUUAUUUAUUGAUUCAAAUGAAUAAAUGUAUUAAUUUUAUGAAUAUGUGUCUCAUUCCAAUUAGUAUUGUAGAUUGACUUCUAUUAAGGUAUUGGUAGGAUGAAAGGUGAAGAUAACGAACAGUGAUCAAUCUCAUAACUCCUAUAAGCAAUACAAAAUAGAGUUGGGCAAAUACGGACCCCUGGACAGACCAGAGGUGGGACCAGGUGCCAAAGAGGAGUAAGCAAUCUCCUGUCGAUAGGUGAUUGGUCACACCCACGGGGAGCCCUUUAUUCUGAUCAGGUAAACAGAGUUAUCCGUAGUCAAAAUCAGUGUGCCAAAAAGGACCUAAUAAUCGGUAUGAAACAUGUCUGACAGCACUUGACCCAAUGAUAGGUCAUAUUGACGAACUAGAUGGUUAUAACGACCAUAGAAUUUUCGGAAUCCUGACUUCAAUCAAGACUAUUGAAACCCCUGUAAAACUUGUUUGUCAGUAGCUUGCCUCAAUUUAAAAACUGACCAUACGCAGAACAAGUUCUUACAUAUCGAAUCAGUUGAGAGAUAUAAACACCAUAUACAGGUGAUACUGGAAUAUGCAGGAUCUGUGCAAAGAUUUUUAAAAAAAAGGGGGGGGGGAGUAGGACAGGUUAAUUUAUGAUGCUGUAAACAUCCUUUUUUCACUGGGUCAUCAUUUCGUGGAGUCGCAAAUUUUGUUCAAUUUGCAGGUAGAAAAUUGCAGAUUUUAUGAUAAUUACUGUAUGUUUUAACUGCACAUCAAGUAUAUUUGGAAAAGUUGUUUCCACAGUUAAGAUUUUACCUAUCAUGAUAUUGUAUCAAAGUCCAAAUUUGUUGAAAGGACUCUCAUUAUAUCGCAAAGUAAAUGUUACAUGUACCUACUGUGCAAAACGUGAGAUGCCUCUUGGACACCAAAUUAAUCAUUGAAAUUUAAAAUAAUGUAAAGUGAUCUUGCUGUCCGCCUUGGCUGCAAUGAUGUAGCCCUAUCUGAUUCUUUUUAUUCCGACGCUUCCGUGAUCCUCUCCCAAAAUAAAAUCGGAGAGGGCAACAUUAUUGCUGCUAUGUCUGCCUCAGCAUUAGAAAAAUAUUCUAAUAUACCUACUUUCAGAAAGCUUCAAGGGCUUUAAUAGCAAAGCAGCCUUCCAUCACAUUAUCUCCAUGCAUAUUUUCAUACAUAUACAGAGCUUUUCCCUUGCAACAUGAUUUCAUUCAAGGAACUGUUUUUUCAUAGAACGAGUCAAAUGUCCACUUUAUAAUUAACACUGUUCUUGACUUUAGUCCCAGGAUCAAUGACAUUUUUUUAGCUGGCUCGCAAACAUCUGUGCAAUAGACUAGGUCAAACAAUAGUGUUCAGUAAAAUUCUGUUAUAAAGAUCUUGGCUAUAAGGAAAUGUCGGUUAUAAGGAAUUUUUCAUGAUUCCUCUUGGUAACUUUUUAAAAUCUUCCUUUUUUGGAUAUAAGAAUCUUGGUUAUUAAGGAGGAUAAAUUUGAGGUCCUAGUGAUUUCCUUACAACUGAGUUUUACUGUACUCUUAUUGUACAUGACCUGCUUUCCUUAGUAAUUACUUACACCUAGAAAGUUUAAGAAUUGAGUUUGUAGCACUUUAUUUGUAAAUAUUUCAGCUCCAGUUAACCUUUCACACUUUUUCUUGUUACUUUCGCCUGCACAAGAUAUUUUUGUCGAGUCACUCACCAACUCUUUUGCAAGUUGAAGACUGAAAAGUCAUACGGUACAUGUACUUUUGAAUUGAAUUGUCAUCUUCACCAGCAAGGAUGCAUGUAUAUACAGACCAGUUACUGCAAUCCUUUGCAGACUUUUUUGAGGAUACAAACAAGAAACUGAUUUAGUUUUAACAGCUUAGCUAUCCAAAUAUUAUCUGAAAGCUAAAUUGUAGCAUUUGGAUUGGUAAAAGAAGAUUGAAACUAACAUAGGAUAUUUCCUUACAAAUUGUGGAGGAAACGAAAAAUUUGAAUUUUCAUAAUUUAUUUCUAUACAUGUUAAACAUUAUUCAAUUAAAUACCCUCAUUUGUAUUUUAUGAAGAUGAGGCUUGCACCAUGAAAAUGAAACACUUUAUACAAAAGGCUACUUUGAUUUAAGAUUUACAAAAAAAAAAAAAAAAAAAAAAUAGAGAGCCAAAAGGAUGGUACACUGUAGUUUGAAAUUUAUGAUAAUGAAGAUUUGCACACUUAACUUAAUUUUCAUGACUAAAAAAAAAACAGGAAUUAAAUUUUAUAUCAUGAAUCAAUGUCACAAUGAUCAUUUUAAUAAAAAAGAAUUCAGAGGAUAUGUUAUAUAUGUGGAGUACCCUAUUACCACACCCGACAUAACACUCAUACAUGAUUAUAUUACAUAGUAUACCCGGUACUUAUUCCUGAUAUUGAAACCAAAAAUAUUAUACAAUAUACACGUGAAGCGGCUAGUUACAGCAUCUGACAUAACAAUUGCAAAUGUGAUUAGACGAACAAUAAAAUCUAAAAAAAAAAAUUAAAAAAAGAA